UCUCUAAAGUGGUACUAUUCUUUGCCUACCAACUGACCAAAGAUUGCAAAACUAUGGCAUCCUGCAAUUAACUUUAUGCCAAUUAUUUUGUGGUUUAGGAACUGUUUAACUUCAUCCAUUGAAUAGAGCAGGAACGCUCUCUGUUUUAAAAAAGGAUUACUUUGAUUCAGAUCUUCAGGGCAGCUAUGCAUAAGUAAAUUCUAAGACCAAUAGACCUACACAUGAUCGUCCCCAACUAUGGACUCAUCUCCUAUAAACUAAAUCAUCUUGAAUAAAACAUCUAACUAGUGAAAACUGUGAAAUAUCUAAUCUAAGCACCACAUGUUGCCCUUUAACCGAUAAUCAACAAACUUCUUGGCUGUCUCUUGACUAGAUCCCCCAAUGUGCAGAAUCCUUUAUUUCAACCAAAAAGAGGACCUUGAGUGUCCAACUUAUUUUGGGUGACAAAAACCAUGGGGAGGCAGGCACCAGUGCCUUUUGGCGCAUCCUCCUCCCCAACUCUACUGCAGGACCCAACCUGAAUCUGAAAAACAGCCAGUGCCCCAGGACAGCACUCUGAUGCAGAAUUCUGUACCUCAAAUUAUCAAAUAAAACCUACAACAUUAAACAGAAACCAAAGCUUCCCUGACAUAAGUGAGAAAAAUCCACAAGUGCAAGAGAUAAUAUUUCAUGCAUUAUGGAAUCAAUAUUUUCUUUCCAGUCAAAAUAUUUCGCAGAGAAAACCUAUUGCUUGAAAAACAAACUUUUGCGAAAAAAUCUACAAGCACAAUGUUGGAAAUAAUGUGUUCAAUGCAUAUGAACCUCAAUAUCCACAGACAGACAUUGAAAGAAUCCAAACACACAAGGAGAGUUACCAACGCAAAUCAACAAAACUGAAGCAAAAUUCCAACCAACAAAAGUAAGGUACAAAAGAAGGAUAUAAGCUUUAUCACAAAGAACCACAUAAAUGAGCAAUGCAACACUCUUGAGUCUUGACAGAUACAGAAAUUCACUGAGAAACUCAUAAACUUGAAUUAAACCACAUUCGAUUGAAGAAAACGUAAAUAACCAAUUAAAAACUAAAACAAGAAAAAUCCUUGACUAAUACUCCCUCUGUUCCAUUGACACUGUCAUAUUUUCCUAUUUGUAACUUACAAAAAUUGGCUAACACAUUUGCAUUCAAUUCCUCCAUUUACCGUUCAAACACUCCCUAAAAGUCCAAUGCAUGUGUCUUUUCAUGAGCCCACAGAUUAUUACCAACGAAACUAAGACAACUUCUUUUGUAGUACGCGCUAGUUGGCAUUAAGAAACUAAAGCCAUUAAGUGUUCGCAAUCAUAUCUGCGAUUGGCUCCACGUUUCUUUAUGUCUUAAUACAACACUUAAAGCUCUUCAAUUUUCAAAUUCUAUCCACUCUUCAUAAAAAUUACAAUUCCCGAAGUGCAAUAAAUUUUAUGGGAUGAAGCGAGUAAUUCUCAACAGCAGACCAAAACUGCCAUUAAAUUGUCUAUUAUAAGAGUCAUUAGCUCAUACAUUGCAAGCACUUCAACCAAAAAUUACAUUUCUAUGCCAAAAACCCCAUUCAGAGAUAACCUUAAGACUGUCAAAACAUAGAGAUUAAAAAUCGUAAAGACUGUCAAUUUAAAAAACUAAAGCAAACCCACUUAACAAAACCUAUCCAACCGUCACCCAAGAAAACAAAAUUUUAUUUACCUUCCCUUAGAUUAAACCAAAUAAAACUUGAAGCCCAGAAAAAUGUCAAAAAGCCUCCAAAAAAUCCCCAGGUAAAAUCAUCCAAAAUAGAACUCAAAGAAAAAACUAAAAAAUAAUUACCUUUAGAUCAAGCAUUGGCAGUUUGAGGAAUAGGCUGCGCCGCUGGGGAGCCUUGUUUUUAUUGGGCUUCGGCUUCCCGGAUCUUCUGCAUCCGUUCCAUGACAAGCUCGUACUCGCGCUUCUUAC
rnacentral:lncRNA from 1 species